CGGAAAAUUUAUGCCAAGUGCCUUGGGAUGCUCUGGAGCACACACUUCCGGCACAAGGGGCACGGCUGACUUGACUAGAGACUCCAAAAACUCAACUCAACUCGACUCGACUCGUCUUGACUUGACUUGACUCGUGUCGACUCGACUUGGACUUGAUGGCUAGGCUAGUGGCAAUCUUGAGGAGGCGCCUCCUGAUGUCUCAGGCAUACAAUAUGAGGCAUGCCACCAAGCAGCACUAAUAAUAAUGAUAAUAAUCAUAAUAAUCAGCUGCGUCAGCCGCAACUUGCUGCCUUGCUGCCUUGCUGCCUUGCUGCUUGCCCCCAGGGGAGGCAUAAAGAGAUGCCACGUUCCUUCUUUACGGGGUAAGUUGUGGGUUGGGCAUUGGGAA